GACGAACGCUGGCGGCGUGCUUAACACAUGCAAGUCGAACGGAAAGGCCCUGCUUUUGUGGGGUGCUCGAGUGGCGAACGGGUGAGUAACACGUGAGUAACCUGCCCUUGACUUUGGGAUAACUUCAGGAAACUGGGGCUAAUACCGGCUAGGAGCUCCUGCUGCUUGGUGGGGGUUGGUAAGUUUCGGCGGUUGGGGAUUGAAUCGCGGCGUAUCAGCUUGAUGGUUGGGUAGUGGCUUACCAAGGCUUUGACGGGUGGCCGGCCUGAGCGGGGGACCGGCCACAUUGGGACGGAGAUACGGCCCGGACUCCUACGGGAGGCAGCAGUGGGGAAUAGUGCACAAUGGGCUGAAGCCUGAUGCAGUAACGCCGCGUGCGGGAUGUCGGCCUUCGGGUUGUAAACCGCUUUCGCCUUAGACGAAGCGUGAGUGACGGUAAUGGGUAAAGAAGCACCGGCUAACUACGUG
rnacentral:rRNA from 1 species